UAUCCUGUGCAACGAACUUGUCGCCUGGGGUUUGAAUAUAGUCUUUUUGAGUAAAAAUCAAAUUGCUGACCCCAAUAGGCAUCCUUUCGAUACUUUUAUGUAUUAAACUACUUUAAUGUAUUAACUGAAUCUUAUAUCUUCAAAUGAAGGUUUUUAACCAAAUGGGUCUUUAUGGCUUGUUUGAAAAAACAACUUUCAGCAAUGGAUCUCUUGGUUCUCGCAUCGAUGAAGAACGUAGCAAACUGCGAUAAGUAGUGUGAAUUGCAUUCAGUGAAUCAUCGAAUCUUUGAACGCACCUUGCACUCACUGGUAUUCCGGUGAGUACGCCUGUUUCAGUAUCAUUGAAAACCCACAACCAUUCAUUUUGUUUUGGUUGGACUUGGGCUACUAGUUUGGAUUCGUUUUUUGGGCAUUCGUGUUAAAAAAAAAAGAGCCAAGCAGCCUGGAAUAUACUGUUGGUCAAUUGUAUCGUAGUAAUCAUUAUACAAGACCUUGGCUUUAUAAACGAACUGGGAUUUGAUUUGACCAGUUUUAGCCUUUGUCAUUGGGAUUACAGUAAAUCGAUCUUGGCUUAGAGAUUAGCUAGCCGUAAAAAAGCUUUCUAGUCAAACUAAAUCAUAUUUUUCAGUAUCGAUCUGAAAUCAGGUGGGACUACCCGCUGAACUUAAAGCAUAUCAAUAAGC
rnacentral:rRNA from 1 species